AGUGAACGCUGGCGGUAGGCCUAACACAUGCAAGUCGAACGGCAGCACAGUAAGAGCUUGCUCUUACGGGUGGCGAGUGGCGGACGGGCGAGGAAUACAUCGGAAUCUACUUUUUCGUGGGGGAUAACGUAGGGAAACUUACGCUAAUACCGCAUACGACCUACGGGUGAAAGCAGGGGAUCUUCGGACCUUGCGCGAUUGAAUGAGCCGAUGUCGGAUUAGCUAGUUGGCGGGGUAAAGGCCCACCAAGGCGACGAUCCGUAGCUGGUCUGAGAGGAUGAUCAGCCUCACUGGAACUGAGACACGGUCCAGACUCCUACGGGAGGCAGCAGUGGGGAAUAUUGGACAAUGGGCGCAAGCCUGAUCCAGCCAUACCGCGUGGGUGAAGAAGGCCUUCGGGUUGUAAAGCCCUUUUGUUGGGAAAGAAAAGCGGCAGGUUAAUACCCCGCUGUUCUGACGGUACCCAAAGAAUAAGCACCGGCUAACUUCGU
rnacentral:rRNA from 1 species